rnacentral:rRNA from 1 species
CCUACGGGAGGCAGCAGUGGGGAAUAUUGGACAAUGGGGGGAACCCUGAUCCAGCCAUGCCGCGUGUGUGAAGAAGGCCCUCGGGUUGUAAAGCACUUUCAGUGAGGAAGAACGCCUGGUGGUUAAUACCCAUCAGGAAAGACAUCACUCACAGAAGAAGCACCGGCUAACUCCGUGCCAGCAGCCGCGGCAAUACGGAGGGUGCGAGCGUUAAUCGGAAUUACUGGGCGUAAAGCGCGCGUAGGUGGCUUGAUAAGCCGGUUGUGAAAGCCCCGGGCUCAACCUGGGAACGGCAUCCGGAACUGUCAAGCUAGAGUGCAGGAGAGGAAGGUAGAAUUCCCGGUGUAGCGGUGAAAUGCGUAGAGAUCGGGAGGAAUACCAGUGGCGAAGGCGGCCUUCUGGACUGACACUGACACUGAGGUGCGAAAGCGUGGGUAGCAAACAGGAUUAGAUACCCCAGUAGUC